rnacentral:rRNA from 2 species
UACGUAGGGGGCAAGCGUUGUCCGGAUUUAUUGGGCGUAAAGAGCGUGUAGGCGGCCAUACAGGUCCGUUGUGAAAACUGGAGGCUCAACCUCCAGACGUCGACGGAAACCGUAUGGCUAGAGUCCGGAAGAGGAGAGUGGAAUUCCUGGUGUAGCGGUGAAAUGCGCAGAUAUCAGGAAGAACACCCGUGGCGAAGGCGGCUCUCUGGGACGGUACUGACGCUGAGACGCGAAAGCGUGGGGAGCGAACAGG